rnacentral:tRNA from 1 species
GCCGGGGUGGCGGAACUGGCAGACGCACAGGACUUAAAAUCCUGGGUCCCGAAAGGGGCGUGUGGGUUCAAUCCCCGCCCCCGGCA